rnacentral:rRNA from 1 species
UACGUAGGGGGCAAGCGUUGUCCGGAAUCAUUGGGCGUAAGCGCGCGUAGGCGGCCCGGUAAGUCCGUUGUGAAAGUCAAAGGCUCAACCUUUGAACGCCGAUGGAUACUGCCGGGCUAGAGUCCGGAAGAGGCGAGUGGAAUUCCUGGUGUAGCGGUGGAAUGCGCAGAUAUCAAGGAGGAACACCAAUAGCGAAGGCAGCUCGCUGGGACGGUACUGACGCUGGAGGCGCGAAAGCGUGGGGAGCGAACAGGAAUUAGACUACCCGGAGUAAGUCCG